GACGUUGGUUUCUUUUCCUCCUCCAUCCUUUGCCGAACCCAAUUCUCAAGCAGCCGGAAAAUCAACCAAACCUCCAUCCCACGUAUCCCCGCCCUUCACUGAUCUUCCUCAGGAAAUCCAACGCAUCCCCUUCGCCGAUGUUCAGGGAACCCAACGCUGCCCUUCACCGAUCUUCCUCAGAAUUUGAAGUUCAUCAUCCGACUCCGAAAAACAACUAGACAUACGCUAGUCCUCUUCAUUUGAACUUUUUUGAUAAUUGUGAAGGCUUCAAAUGAGAAGAUGUGGCUCCUCUUCAUCUGAAUUUUUUUGUCCUACAGUAGUUCACUUUCUUUCACCUUUUCCUCUUCAUAAAGUUGCAGUAGAUGGGAAAAGCAUCCGGGUUAUGGCUUUAAGCAUUCGCCUAUUCGGAAGAAAUGCGUUCAACUAGGACUCGAAGGGCUCCAAUACUGGCAUACUGCUACUAUUAAUUUAUGGAUUAUAAUCAUUGAUCUCGUACAGAUAUUUCGUUUUUGUGAUUUCUUUUGUUGCUCAUAAAGUCUCGUGCAAUGAGAAGGCCUUCAUAUCAUCAUAUGUUCAAGAGUGCACUAAGUUCAUAAUUUAGCAUUGUUAUUUGUUAAAGAUGAAAUAUGAAUCUGUAGGAAACAAACACUAUUACUUUGAUUCAAGACAAACAGAUCCUUUCAUUUA